rnacentral:rRNA from 1 species
UCUGUGGGAUCAGUGGCGAACGGGUGAGUAACACGUGAGCAACCUGCCCCUGACUCUGGGAUAAGCGCUGGAAACGGCGUCUAAUACUGGAUAUGUGACGUGACCGCAUGGUCUGCGUCUGGAAAGAAUUUCGGUUGGGGAUGGGCUCGCGGCCUAUCAGCUUGUUGGUGAGGUAAUGGCUCACCAAGGCGUCGACGGGUAGCCGGCCUGAGAGGGUGACCGGCCACACUGGGACUGAGACACGGCCCAGACUCCUACGGGAGGCAGCAGUGGGGAAUAUUGCACAAUGGGCGCGAGCCUGAUGCAGCAACGCCGCGUGAGGGACGACGGCCUUCGGGUUGUAAACCUCUUUUAGCAGGGAAGAAGCGAAAGUGACGGUACCUGCAGAAAAAGCGCCGGCUAACUACGUGCCAGCAGCCGCGGUAAUACGUAGGGCGCAAGCGUUAUCCGGAAUUAUUGGGCGUAAAGAGCUCGUAGGCGGUUUGUCGCGUCUGCUGUGAAAUCCGGAGGCUCAACCUCCGGCCUGCAGUGGGUACGGGCAGACUAGAGUGCGGUAGGGGAGAUUGGAAUUCCUGGUGUA